UGGAUAACCUGCCCUGAGGUGGGGAAUAACCCGGGGAAACUCGGGCUAAUACCGCAUGAUACCAAGCGGUCAAAGAGGGCUCGCAAGAGCUCUUGCCACAGGAGGGGUCCGCGUUCGAUUAGCUAGUUGGUAGGGUAAUGGCCUACCAAGGCGACGAUCGAUAGCCGGCCCAAGAGGGUGAUCGGCCACACUGGAACUGAGACACGGUCCAGACUCCUACGGGAGGCAG
rnacentral:rRNA from 1 species